rnacentral:rRNA from 1 species
GACGAGCGCUGGCGGCAUGCCUAAUACAUGCAAGUCGAACGAUGAUAUCACUGCUUGCAGUGAUUGAUUAGUGGCGAACGGGUGAGUAACACGUGAGGAACUUGCCCAUGAGCGGGGGACAACAUUCGGAAACGGAUGCUAAUACCCCAUAGGUGGAUUGGUCGCAUGACGAAUUCAUUAAAGGUGGCUCUGCUACCACUCAUGGAUAGCCUCGCGGCGUAUUAGCUAGUUGGUAAGGUAAUGGCUUACCAAGGCAGUGAUACGUAGCCGACUUGAGAGGGUGAUCGGCCACACUGGGACUGAGACACGGCCCAGACUCCUACGGGAGGCAGCAGUAGGGAAUCUUCCACAGUGGGUGCAAACCUGAUGGAGCAAUGCCGCGUGAGUGAAGAAGGUCUUCGGAUCGUAAAGCUCUGUCGUUAGAGAAGAACACGUGCUAGGUAACUACUAGCGCCUUGACGGUAUCUAACCAGAAAGUCACGGCUAACUACGUG